rnacentral:lncRNA from 1 species
UGGACCUCAUUACCUCCUUUAAACCAUAAGCUCAAUCAAGUGAGCUAACCGUACCCCUAAUCAAUGCUUUCAAAAUCGGGACGGACCGGCCGGUUGGACAGUGAACCGGACCAAGUCCCGGUCCGGACACCCAUACAGAACCGUUGUUCUUAAGAACCGGUAGAAAACCGGAAGAACCGGUGAUAAUCGCCGAACCGGUCACGGUUUGAUAAAACCAGACGGUCUCAAGUUUUUUUUUUCAAACAAAAAAUCUCAAUAUUUAGUUCAAGGUUGUUCGAAUCUGUUCAAAUCAACAGUUAAAACAAAAAAAAAAAAAGUUCAAAUCAACAAAUAAAUGAUUAAGAAAAUGAGAGGAUGUGAAGCAAAUGAGAUGAAGAGAUAGAUUGAAGCAGAUUGGACUGAUGAGGAAGGAAAAAAAGAAGAUGUAGAACGUGAACUGAGAUGAUGGAGAGAGAAAGUCUGGAAAAGGAAAACAGUAAAUUUUGUUUUAGGUUUCUAUCAACAAUAACGAAUAUUGAUUGGGCUUAUUUUUAACGUGGGCUUCAUUUUGCUAGUCCACUACUGGGCUUAGUGAAAAAAUUAGUUUGCGAUCUUGUUAAAUUUUACCGUGUUAAUUAUAAAUUUUAUAAUUUAUGUUAUUUAUUUAUUAUACGGUUCAAUAGCAGUUGAACUGGUUAAACCAUGAAUCGGGGCUAUCACCAGUUUGAUCUCCGGUCCGGUUUUAAAAACAUUGGCCCUAAUGCAUUUCAUUAUCUUCAGUUUUAUGUU